UACGAAGGGAGCUAGCGUUGUUCGGAAUCACUGGGCGUAGAGCACGUAGGCGGAUUUGUCAGUCAGGGGUGAAAUCCCGGGGCUCAACCUCGGAACUGCCUUUGAUACAGCAAGUCUUGAGUUCGAGAGAGGUGGGUGGAAUUCCUAGUGUAGAGGUGAAAUUCGUAGAUAUUAGGAAGAACACCGGUGGCGAAGGCGGCCCACUGGCUCGAUACUGACGCUGAGGUGCGAAAGCGUGGGGAGCAAACAGG
rnacentral:rRNA from 1 species